rnacentral:tRNA from 1 species
GCCCCAUUUGAGGAAUUGGUACACUCCUCGCUCUUAGAAAGCGGUGUUUCUCCGUUCGAAUCGGAGAUGGGGCACCA